GUUAAGUUGGCAGAAAAGUGCAUUAGACUUAGGAUCUAAGAAUAAGGUGGUGGCCUUACUUAAUA
rnacentral:tRNA from 1 species